rnacentral:rRNA from 1 species
ACGCUCGACACCUACUGGAGGCAGCAGUGGGGAAUAUUGGGCAAUGGAGGAAACUCUGACCCAGCAACGCCGCGUGAAUGAUGAAGGUCUUUGGAUUGUAAAGUUCUUUUCUAAGGGACGAAGAAAGUGACGGUACCUUAGGAAUAAGCCUCGGCUAACUACGUGCCAGCAGCCGCGGUAAUCUGAGCGGGCUGGCAAGGC